UAGGGAAUCUUCCACAAUGGACGCAAGUCUGAUGGAGCAACGCCGCGUGAGUGAAGAAGGUUUUCGGAUCGUAAAGCUCUGUUGUUGGUGAAGAAGGAUAGAGGCAGUAACUGGUCUUUAUUUGACGGUAAUCAACCAGAAAGUCACGGCUAACUACGUGCCAGCAGCCGCGGUAAUACGUAGGUGGCAAGCGUUGUCCGGAUUUAUUGGGCGUAAAGCGAGCGCAGGCGGAAUGAUAAGUCUGAUGUGAAAUCCCACGGCUCAACCGUGGAACUGCAUCGGAAACUGUCAUUCUUGAGUGCAGAAGAGGAGAGUGGAAUUCCAUGUGUAGCGGUGGAAUGCGUAGAUAUAUGGAAGCUCACCCGUGGCGAAGGCGGCUCUCUGGUCUGCAACUGACGCUGAGGCUCGAAAGCAUGGGUAGCGAACAGG
rnacentral:rRNA from 1 species